ACUCUGGGAAACUGGAGCUAAUACCGCAUGAUACCUGAGGGUCAAAGGCGCAAGUCGCCUGCGGAGGAGCCUGCGUUUGAUUAGCUUGUUGGUGGGGUAAUGGCCUACCAAGGCGAUGAUCAAUAGCUGGUCUGAGAGGAUGAUCAGCCACACUGGGACUGAGACACGGCCCAGACUCCUACGGGAGGCAGCAGUGGGGAAUAUUGGACAAUGGGGGCAACCCUGAUCCAGCAAUGCCGCGUGUGUGAAGAAGGUUUUCGGAUUGUAAAGCACUUUCGGCGGGGACGAUGAUGACGGUACCCGCAGAAGAAGCCCCGGCUAACUUCGUGCCAGCAGCCGCGGUAAUACGAGGGGGGGGGGAGCGUUGCUCGGAAUGACUGGGCGUAAAGGGGCGUGUAGGCGGUUUGUACAGUGGGGAUGGU
rnacentral:rRNA from 1 species